rnacentral:misc_RNA from 1 species
AAGUCGUAACAAGGUUUCCGUAGGUGAACCUGCGGAAGGAUCAUUACAAAUCAAUUUGUGGGGGUGGUUGGUGAUAGGAUCGGUAUUGGUUGGUUGAGAAAUCAACAAAUAAAGUUCUUGUCACCCUACUUUCAUAUAUGUUCGAGGCAGCAAUGCUUCGUGACAUUUACGCUUGUCUUGUUUGUCAGAGUAAAAGUGAUUAUAUAAAGAGACAACUUUUAACAAUGGAUCUCUUGGCUCUU